rnacentral:pre_miRNA from 1 species
CUGGCUCUCGCCCAGUGGCGUUAAUAUCUUGCUGGGGCCUCCAUUAUGUUGUAUCCAGGCAAGUCAGAGAAAACGCCACACUUUGGGAUGAAUUAAGAGUCCUUUAUUAG